rnacentral:rRNA from 1 species
UACGUAGGGGGCUAGCGUUGUCCGGAAUCAUUGGGCGUAAAGCGCGUGUAGGCGGCCCGGUAAGUCCGCUGUGAAAGUCGGGGGCUCAACCCUCGAAAGCCGGUGGAUACUGUCGGGCUCGAGUGCGGAAGAGGCGAGUGGAAUUCCUGGUGUAGCGGUGAAAUGCGGCAGAUAUCAGGAGGAACACCGAGUUAGCGAAGGCAGCUCGCUGGGACGUUACUGACGCUGAGACGGCGAAAGCGUGGGGAGCAAACAGG